rnacentral:lncRNA from 1 species
AUUUGUUCAAAAAUGCACCCUAUUUUUUUUUAAUGCAAGAAAUGUUAAGAAAAAUCUUGCCAUACAAUAAAUAAUCCCAAAUCCAAUCCUGACUGAAGUCAGAGUGUCUUAAGGCCCAAGGACAGAGGAGCCACUGGGGUCCAUUCUUGCAAGUGCCCUCUAGGCACAGGGCAACAUGUGUUCGAUGGACUCAUGCCAGCUGAACAUGACAAGGUGGUUCAGAAGUUAAAAGACAUUAAAAAAUUGUGCAACAGUUAACAGAUUACCUAUUAUCUGUCACAACUAAUAAAAAAACAAUUAGGUUUGUAUUUUGAAUCACUGGUUUAUUAGUUUAAUUUUUAACAUUGUUCUUUUCCUUUGUAUUUUAUUAACAUUAAGAAAAUUGGUUCAUGUUCCUUAAGAUUGAUAGUUAAAGAAGUACCGUUCUAAACCCAACUGGUUGUCUCAUACCAGCAGAGACCUCUCUUGGGGGAAAUUGUGAGCUGUAGAGUGUGUGGAACAGCAAUGUCGUUAUAUGUCCACAAUCCAGAUGUAGUGUUGACAUACCUCAUUACAAAUAUGCCAAGAGGAAUACAGAUAUUAUAUCUAUAUUCCCCAGAAAGCUGGGUGAAAUUGGGCAAAGAUUGACCCAAAAUUCUCCUAUCUACCCACUUUCUCCUUCUCGGUUUGUCUAUAAGAAUGAAGGAGAGAAAACAAGCAUGGAAGAAUUAUUUUUUUUAUUGUAUCUGGAAAACUCAGGUUAGGGAAGAAACCAAAAAGCCUAAACAAGGCUGGGAGGAGGGGAAGCUAGGGGAAAGUAGUCAGGGUAUGAGCUGGUGGAGGGGUUUCUCUCCCAGGCAACGUAAUUGAGCACAUCAGAGCUACUCCACUCCCAUCCACCAGCAUUGGGCUCCAAGCCCUAGAGAGCAGAGGGUGGAGUCAGGGAGGAUGAAAAGCACUUAGAGUUCUCCUGGCAUGAUUCCCUCAGUGGGACCCCCUGCUCUGCUCCCCAGCAUCAUGGAAUUGGCUCUGUCUUUCUUGACGAUGCCCCACAGCUCUACUCUGGGAAAAUCUCCAUAAGUUUUGGCUUUUUUUUUUGUCUUUU